UGUUUCCCCUUGCUCUUCCUUAGUGGUUUUCCUUUUCAUGAUUGUAGUUAUUCCUAUCGUUGAUUCUUAUGCUCAAGGAUGGUUCCUACAAGUUUCUAAAAUCAUGUAAUCUUCACUGUCAUAAGGAACCUUUAGCAAUGCUGAACUUCAUGGAACAUUUAUAGAGAGAUAGAAAAUUUUUGGGUAAAUUAUGUUCCUAGUUCUUGAACUAAGUUGGAUAUUCUUAAAUGGUUCCUGAAUUACAAAAUCCUAAACUUUAGCCCUUCAACUAUCUGAACCGAUUUAAUAUUGUCUUUUGGUAUGUUUCCAGCAAUUUUUUCUCACCGAAAAUUUGAUGUGGCAACAUCCGGUGCUUAUAUGGCACUUAUGUGGCAUUAAAAUCUAAAAAAACAUUGAUGUAGCGCUUAUGUGGCAUUAUUUCUUCUUUUCUCAUAGUAUUUUUCUUUCUUCUUCUUCCUUCGGUCUCUCUUCUUUGAGGAGGAUGGGGCCAUGAAGGGAAAGGGAUUUGAAAUGAGAGGAGGAUGAAACUAACGCCGACUCGAUGGGAGGCAUUGGGAGGAGGCGAUGGGAGAUGAAUGGAGGAGAAGAACCAAACAAAGAAGGUGGAUAGGGCCAUAAAAGGAAAGGAGUUUUUCUUUCUUCUUUUUCCAUUGGAGUUUUGGGGAUGAAAGAAAGAAAGAUGGGAGAUGAGAGAUUUGAAAAGGAUAGGUAGAAAAAGUUCGGUGAGAUAGAGUAGUGAGAAAUAAAGCAAAAAAUGGUGGUGAGGGAGGAGGAGAAUGGGGCCGGCCAUGGAGGAAAGGGGUUUCUUUCUUUCUCUUAUAUUUUCUUUGGGAUUUUGGGAAUGAGAAGAAAAGAGAUGGAAGAUGACAGAUUUGGGGAGGAAGAUGAAGAUUUGGGUAGAUGAGACAUUAGGAAUUUUAGCAUUUGGGGACGAAGAAGAUGAUGUGGCUUAAAAUAAGAAAGAAGAAGAUGAUAUGACUUAAAAUAUUUUAAACCACAUCAGUAUCUAUUGAGCCAUGCGAACAAAGGAUACUCCAUAUAGGCAUCAAAUUUUGCCACAUCAGAUUUCGACGAGAAAAAACCGUCAGAAUCGUACCUGAGGACAACAUUAAAUUAGUUCAGAUAGUUGGAGAACUAAAGUUUAGGAUUUUGUAGUUCAGGGACUAUUUAAGAAAAUCCAACCAAGUUCAGGGACUAGGAAUAUAAUUUAUCCAAUUUUUUUUAUAUUUCAUGGAAUCUCUUCUGUAUCUUACUUAAGAUAUAUAACGUAUCUCUUAAGGCUUAUCUUUAUGAUAAAUAAACAAUCUUACUACUAUUUUCUUUUCUUUUUUUAAGAAACUAAGAGUUGUAACUAGAGAAGAUGAUAAAAAAAAUGGUAUUGUUAACAAAUAUAAUUUUUCCUUUUUUGAGGAACAUGACAAUUAGUAGAAUGCUAUGGGCUGCUUUAAGUUUUAACGAUGUUGGAAACGCAUUGUGCAAAUUUGGUACCAAAAUGAUUAUGCUCCAUCUCCUGCGUUUUUCAAUCCCUCACCUCUAUCUUUUCCAAUGAAAGCCUGAUGUCUCAUGAUUUCACGAGCAACUGCAUUAGGACCAGUCCUAUGUCUGCUGUUGUUUGUGGACUUCACUUUUAAGGAAUUCUAGAGUGUCACAAAAUAUUUAUGGAUUUUGUGAAGUACAAAUGGUUUGAGAGUGACAAAAUUCUACUAUAAUGCAGUUGUAAAACUUUUAAUAGUUUUUUUUGCUCAUUAAAGUCUUCUUUUUUAAUUGUUAACAAGCCAAAAGUCACAUCUCUCCAUAUCCAGAACCAAGUCUAGUUUGAAGUACUCAUUCCAUCCUUGUAUUUUUGCCAGGUCUCCUAUCUUCCAUAGAAUGCUGAAGAUAAUGCGGCUGCUGUUCAGGUUAUUGUUGGGUAUAACAUUUAUCCACUUCCAAUGAACCACUUACUUGAAGGUAUUCUGUCAAACUCUUGGUGGUAUGCGUACUGUUUACCACAGCAACAAACAAACUCCAAAUGCUUCACUGGAUGCUAUAAUAAAUAUUACUUGAUCUUCUGAGGGAAUUGUAAGGGAAAUGUUUACCACAGCAACUGCAGCUGAAUUCUGUGGAUUGUUAUUAACUGCUUUAUCACCUGACCUGUUAUGGACUAAUUCCCCCUUUGGAUGCGUGCUUUAUUACCUCACUUCUCUCUACCGGUAGGUUGCAAAUUAUCUUUUAUAAUUCAGUUGCAUACUCUGUCAAGGCUUCUUUUUCUAACAUUUGGUUGCUUCUGCUUCUUGGGGAUUACAAUGCAAUGAAUUUGCUCAUCUUUUUUGAUUUAAUCAUGUGGAACUAUUUUUCAUUAAUUUCCUACUUUAUAAGUAAAGCUGAAAGGUGAUAAAGAUGUUAUAAAUGUACAUACAUUAUGAAGAUUAUUUUAUUAAACAUUGUAUCUCAUAAUCACCUAUUCUUUUAGAGGAAUUAGAAUUCUUCUCUCUUUGAAAAUUGAUCUUACUUUCCGAUAUGAGAAGGGACUUGAAGGAAAUUCUCCAUCUUAUGAAUAGUGAUUGGUCCUACUUAAACAGCAGUUCCAUUAAAUUAUUAUGAUACAGUUCUUAUCAUCUUGUAUAUGGGAAAUGGACGUGGGUGUUCAGCAUUCUUAUAUAGUAAUCAUACUGCAUUAGCUUGAAUAUUCUCUGCUUAUGAUUAUGCAAUGCAGGCGAUUUUAGCAUAAAGUAUGAACUCCCUUAUAUCUCCACGCUAAUUGAGAAUAGGAUAUCUAAAUAAGCUGAAGUGACUGUGACAUACCAACAUUGUAGAGGAAAAUGGUAGCAUUCUCUGGUGGCUGCAUUGUUUUUCUCUGCAUGUCCUGUACUUGUGAGAAUUAUUAGAGGAAAACCUCUGAACUCGGAGAAUUUCGAGCCCAUUGAGAUGCAGGGCAUCCGAUGCUAAAUGUAACUCGCAAGAAAAUCUAGGAACAUUUGAGCAGUGAAGAAUGGUUGGACUGACUCAUCUUCUCCAGCUCUUAAAGUGAGUGAAGAUCCAGUUACUAAUUGAGCAUGAACUAUGAAUAGUAAUAUGUAAUUCCUUGCAACAAUUUCUCUUUUUAUCUUGACUUAUCCAACAUCCAUGUUAAUGUGCUACUUGUUGUGCCCCUUACUCCUUAGUUGAUAUCAAUGAGAGGAUGUCAUAAUGGGAUGUUGUCUGUUUUUUGCCUUGCAAGUUACUGAUUCCACAAUUUUCCGAGAUUCAAUUCCAUUUGCUUUGUUUUUAUAUAUAUAUUUUUAAAUAGUUACAAUAAUUUGAGGAAUUUAUGCAAUAUGUAUUCUGCAAAAUAUUCUUGUCAUGCUUAAAUAUUUCUUCUCAAUAUAUGUGAAGGAAUGUCACAGGCAUGGAUACGGAAUUUUGCUCUCAUAGAAAAACUUUUUCGCUCUUUCUAGAUUUAUUGCAUCGGCAGUUUACAACUUAAACCUGUUGAACUUAUUUGAGGUAGACAUCAAUAACAGACGUGACAUGCCGACAACCUUGAGUGCUCUGGAGCUUUUAUAUGAGUGCUAGGCAUGGCAUUUUUAAGAGAGAAGACGGUUACCUCAUUGUGUGUUUGGUCUGGCCUAAUGAUAGACCAUCAAUUGCCACGAAUGUUGAUAGAUUUCAAUAUUCUGGCAUGGAAGCCCGACAUCAGUGUUGUACAGCCUUCAGCAAGGCUUUAUCAGCUUCAAAUUUGCUUUGUGAUGAUACUUUGCUGGAAUAGCAUGGAAGUUGCAGGAAGCUGUUUAAAGUUGUCCUCAUCUUGCAAAAGAGCACAGUUGAGCUCAGCCCGGCACCAUCACUGCAGAGAGAUUUUGAGUCGUCGUCGAGAUCUCCAUCAAGUUAUAUAAUAUAUUAUCUUCUCUUGGAAUUGUAAUGUUUUAUAUUGUUCAUAGUUAGGUGGAUGUCUGUUCAAUAUACAAAAGUAUGACAUGAUUAUAUGAUUCACUGAAACAACUCUCGGACUAAUAAUUCUUUCUUGAAGCAAAUUUUGCACAAUUACCGUGUUUAUCAUAAGCAGUAUUUGCUAAUUCUGUUUCUGCUGCAUUAGCUUUUUUCCUGAUUGCCAUGAUUUCUUGAGCAAUGGGAUUAAGAUGGGCCCAGGCAGCUUUUAGCAUGCAGAAAAGUAGCACCCCAAAGCAAUUUUCCAGAUGUUCUCGUCCAUUGGUACGAGCCAUAGGCACCGCUGAAAUUAAGUUCUAGCCGCGAGCUUGACGACUAGAGAUGGAGCCUGCAGGAGCUGAUGAAAACGGGGGUCAACUGAAGCUGUUGGCGCCCCGGUCUCGAAUAUUCUGGGACCCAGUCGCUAAGAGGUCCACCGGGGUGGGUGGAGAGAACAAUUCUGUCAAAUGGUGUCACAUAAAUUGUUCUUUUUAUGGUUGUGAAUAAUGAUGUUAUCUAUUAUUUUCAAUUAUGUUAACACUUAAAUGUAAUAUUUUUUUGAGAUA